GAUGAACGCUGGCGGCGUGCCUAAUACAUGCAAGUCGAGGGGCAUCACGAGGUAGCAAUACUUUGGUGGCGACCGGCGCACGGGUGAGUAACACGUAUGCAACCUACCCUGUACAGGGGGAUAACCCGGAGAAAUUCGGACUAAUAUCCCAUGAUGAUAUUGAGGGGCAUCCUUUAAUAUUUAUAGCUCAGGCGGUACGGGAUGGGCAUGCGGAACAUUAGCUAGUUGGCAGGGUAACGGCCUACCAAGGCUACGAUGUUUAGGGGACCUGAGAGGGUUAUCCCCCACACUGGUACUGAGACACGGACCAGACUCCUACGGGAGGCAGCAGUGAGGAAUAUUGGUCAAUGGGCGCAAGCCUGAACCAGCCAUCCCGCGUGAAGGAAGAAGGCGCUAUGCGUUGUAAACUUCUUUUCCAGGGGGUGAAUAAUUCCGAUGUAUCGGGAGAUGACGGUACCCUGGGAAUAAGCAUCGGCUAACUCCGUGCCAGCAGCCGCGGUAA
rnacentral:rRNA from 1 species